AGAGAGAGAGAGAGAGAGACAUUGUAUCAUAUAUAUGAAGAUAAAUAUGAAAAUGUAAACAUCAGUAUUUUAUGUUAAAGGUUAUCCCUAUUGUGGUGAGUCUCAGGCAUACAAUCAGCAAAAUGCAGAUUCAAGUCUUGAAAAGAAGCCCUUCAUAAAAAUAAAUCUGAAGACUUUCUACACUGAAUUCUCUCUACCACGACAUAGCUUCAGUGGGACAAUAUUUGAAAUUAUGAGCUUUUAUUACUUAAUGCCAAGAUAAUUGAUUAACUUCUGAUGUAUCUAUUUCCAUAAAGCACCAAAUAGAAAGAAAUUUACAUCAACAUUAAUCACGUGCUAUUGCAAAAACAUCUCUGCACAGCUCCCAAAAAACAAAUAAUGGGAAAACAAGAUCACUGUAGCCAAUUCCAUAAGUAUUCCUGUACAAUGGGCUCAUGACCAAAGCCCAUAAUCUUCAAUGAAGAUUAUGCAGACAAAUAAAGGAAAACUUUGCAGAAUUUUAUACCU
rnacentral:misc_RNA from 1 species